rnacentral:rRNA from 1 species
AGCGAACGUUUGCGGCGGGCCUAACACAUGCAAGUCGAACGCACUAGCAAUAGUGAGUGGCGCACGGGUGCGUAACACGUGGGUAAUCAACCCUUCAGCUUGGGAUAACGACUUGAAAGGGUCGCUAAUACCGGAUACGGCGAGAGAGGCUUCGGCAUUUCUCGAGAAAGCCUCGCAAGGGGCACUGAAGGACGAGCCUGCGGCCCAUCAGCUAGUUGGUGAGGUAAGAGCUCACCAAGGCGAAGACGGGUAGCUGGUCUGAGAGGAUGAUCAGCCACACUGGAACUGAGACACGGUCCAGACUCCUACGGGAGGCAGCAGUGGGGAAUAUUGCGCAAUGGGCGAAAGCCCGACGCAGCCACGCUGCGUGAGCGAUGAAGGCCUUCGGGUCGUAAACCUCUUUCAGCAGGGACGAAGCGAAAGUGACGGUACCU